rnacentral:lncRNA from 1 species
GUCCUUUGUUUAAAUUGCACAUAGACCAAGGUGAGCGACACAGGCUCUUAAGAGCCUCUAGUUUCUAUGAGUUAUGCCCCUUUGAACUUAUUUGCCUCAAUAUACUACUGCAAUUUUUUUAUAACAACUCCUCUAAAACCACACAACAGAAUAUCAUGAAACUCUAGAAAAAAACAAUUGAAUCAUAAUUUCCUGAUAAUAUGC